rnacentral:rRNA from 1 species
UACGUAGGUGGCGAGCGUUAUCCGGAAUUAUUGGGCGUAAAGAGGGAGCAGGCGGCAGCUAAGGUCUGCGGUGAAAGCCCGAAGCUAAACUUCGGUAAGCCGUGGAAACCGAGCAGCUAGAGUGCAGUAGAGGAUCGUGGAAUUCCAUGUGUAGCGGUGAAAUGCGUAGAUAUAUGGAGGAACACCAGUGGCGAAGGCGACGAUCUGGGCUGCAACUGACGCUCAGUCCCGAAAGCGUGGGGAGCAAAUAGG